rnacentral:lncRNA from 10 species
AAACAGAAGAAAACCCAUGAAGGAUGAGAACUAUGGGUCCUGAGAAUGACAGGUAUUGAAGACAGGAUUUAUCUUCUCUACUUCUUCUUUUAGAAGCAGAUCAAGAAACUGGCGAUUGAAGAGUAACUGAAAGAAACGCAAUCUGAUCUUACUAGCAGUGAAAGAGCGAGUCUCCCUCUGAUGCCGAGCAGAAGCUAGACUGUACUGCUGCCAUCUCAGCUCACUGCAACCU